rnacentral:tRNA from 1 species
GCCCUGGUGGCACAGUGGUUAAGCGUUUGGCUGCUAACCAAAAGUUUGGUGGUUUGAACCCACCCGGUGACU